UUAGCACGUUUGUUGUUAGAAACACCCAUCUACGAGGGCAAAUGUUGGUAGUGAAUUGUUGCUCUCUCCCAUCACCGGUAGAGAAUGUUGAAGCUGCCACUGCUGGUUCAACUCCUUGAAUUCUCCCAAUUUUCCUAACAAUUGUCUUAACAUUUCACAGGUGUGUCCAGAGCUACUGUGUCUGCACAGAUUCCAAAAAGCUUAUGAUAUAGUGUCUGUUUUCACCUCUCGGAUUGAAGCCUAUUAAAGGAUUUGAGGAAAACUAUUCAGUGCUGUGGGCAAUGAGGAGCAAAGAAGAUCCAUUUAGAUGAGUUACAGCACUACUGGUCUUCUGAUGGAAUUUCCAAAAUUUCAGAUAAGUGGCAAAUUUUCAGCCAGCUCAAGGAAAUCAAAAUAGGAAAGGGCAGCUUUGCAAGGAGAAACCAAGGCACCAGGUUAAUUGCAGUAAAUAAGGAGCAUCACACUCAUGUGUUCCUAAGGGGAACAGAGGAGCUGCAACACAGGGGACAGUCCUCCCUGUGCAACUUUUAAGGUGUGUUAGGGCCAAAACCUCUUUAAUGCAAACAAUGCUAUUUAUUUGCUUCCAUAUCAGCUCUGAAUUUGGCUUAUUGUCACCAGUAAAGAAGAG
rnacentral:lncRNA from 1 species